ACGCGUGGAACCUUACCAGGUCUUGACAUCCUUCGCUACUUCUAGAGAUAGAAGGUUCCCCUUCGGGGGACGAAGUGACAGGUGGUGCAUGGUUGUCGUCAGCUCGUGUCGUGAGAUGUUGGGUUAAGUCCCGCAACGAGCGCAACCCUUGAUCUUAGUUGCCAGCAUUCAGUUGGGCACUCUAAGGUGACUGCCGGUGACAAACCGGAGGAAGGUGGGGAUGACGUCAAAUCAUCAUGCCCCUUAUGACCUGGGCUACACACGUGCUACAAUGGAUGGUACAAAGGGCUGCAAGACCGCGAGGUCAAGCCAAUCCCAUAAAACCAUUCUCAGUUCGGAUUGCAGGCUGCAACUCGCCUGCAUGAAGCCGGAAUCGCUAGUAAUCGCGGAUCAGCAUGCCGCGGUGAAUACGUUCCCGGGCCUUGUACACACCGCCCGU
rnacentral:rRNA from 1 species